rfam:Beta vulgaris subsp. vulgaris Bvchr4_un.sca011.con0096.1, whole genome shotgun sequence.
GUGAGCCGCAUGCGGGGAGACCCGCACGUACGGUUUUUUUUUUCGAUUUCACAGUAAUUAGCUGAUCAGAACUCGACUGGUAAUUGAAU